rnacentral:rRNA from 1 species
AUUGAACGCUGGCGGCAUGCCUUACACAUGCAAGUCGAACGGCAGCACGGGUGCUUGCACCUGGUGGCGAGUGGCGAACGGGUGAGUAAUACAUCGGGACAUGUUCUGUAUUGGGGGAUAGCCCGGCGAAAGCCGGAUUACUACCGCAUACGAUCUACGGAUGCAAGCGGGGGACCUUCUGGCCUCGGGCUUUACGGUUGCCCGAUGAUUGAUUAGCUAGUUGGUGGGGUAAAGGCCUACCAAGGCGACGAUCAGCAGCUGGUCUGAGAGGACGACCAGCCACACUGGGACUGAGACACGGCCCAGACUCCUACGGGAGGCAGCAGUGGGGAAUUUUGGACAAUGGGCGAAAGCCUGAUCCAGCAAUGCCGCGUGUGUGAAGAAGGCCUUCGGGUUGUAAAGCACUUUUGUCCGGAAAGAAAUCCUUGGCCCUAAUACGGUCGGGGGAUGACGGUACCGGAAGAGUAAGCCCCGGCUAACUACGUG